GCCGCCAUGGUGAAAUUGGUAGACACGCUGCUCUUAGGCGGCAGCGCCAGAGCAUCUCGGUUCGAAUCCGAGUGGCGGCA
rnacentral:tRNA from 1 species